rnacentral:rRNA from 1 species
CAGUCGCCGCGGUAAUACGUAGGUCCCGAGCGUUGUCCGGAUUUAUUGGGCGUAAAGCGAGCGCAGGCGGUUAGAUAAGACUGAAGUUAAAGGCUGUGGCUUAACCAUAGUACGCUUUGGAAACUGUUUAACUUGGUGCAAGAGGGGAGAGUGGAAUUCCAUGUGUAGCGGUGAAAUGCGUAGAUAUAUGGAGGAACACCGGUGACGAAAGCGGCUCUCUGGCUUGUAACUGACGCUGAGGCUCGAAAGCGUGGGGAGCAAACAGGAUUAGAUACCCGCGUAGUCCCUGUCUCUUAUACAC